AUUGAACGCUGGCGGCAGGCCUAACACAUGCAAGUCGAACGGUAGCACAGAGAGCUUGCUCUCGGGUGACGAGUGGCGGACGGGUGAGUAAUGUCUGGGAAACUGCCCGAUGGAGGGGGAUAACUACUGGAAACGGUAGCUAAUACCGCAUAAUGUCGCAAGACCAAAGAGGGGGACCUUCGGGCCUCUUGCCAUCGGAUGUGCCCAGAUGGGAUUAGCUUGUUGGUGAGGUAAUGGCUCACCAAGGCGACGAUCCCUAGCUGGUCUGAGAGGAUGACCAGCCACACUGGAACUGAGACACGGUCCAGACUCCUACGGGAGGCAGCAGUGGGGAAUAUUGCACAAAGGGCGCAAGCCUGAUGCAGCCAUGCCGCGUGUGUGAAGAAGGCCUUCGGGUUGUAAAGCACUUUCAGCGGGGAGGAAGGCGAUACGGUUAAUAACCGUGUUGAUUGACGUUACCCGCAGAAGAAGCACCGGCUAACUCCGUG
rnacentral:rRNA from 1 species